UUUCCCUUCACAUUUAGUGCAUGUCACAUUCCUUAAUUGGCUUUUGCUUAAAAAACAAUGACGAAAGAACAUGCAGGAGGCAACUCUCCUCGCCUGCUGAUAUUUUCUUUUUGCCUCUUUAAGGAAAAACUAAAACUCAAGGUAAUGUGAGAUUUAAUGAGAGGAGACAUGUUUGUUGUGUUAUUCCCGGCUAGCUCUUUCUGUCCACAGAAAUUCCCCUCUGCUGUUUGCCACUCCCUGUAUGACUGACUACGCGUGCUCACAGAGGCAAGAAGAAGAAUUAUUUCCAUAUGACCUGAAGACAGAGAAACUCUACUUCACUUUUCAAAAUAAAACCCACAUUACCAAAAACCUUUUAUUCUUCAUCUUUCCAAAUCAUCAUCAAAUUCCUUCUGUGAGAGUCAUGAAAGGAAUUUUUUUUUCUUAUGCAAUGCUCCAUUGGUAAAUGCACCAGUGUACAUUAGCCUACUUCCAAUAUGUUUUUUUUUCUAGUAAGGGGGCUUACUGAAUGUCUAAACCAAUAUAUCUCAAACUUUUUUCAAAACAUUAACACCUCACUGUUUUUCAUCAAAAGUUAACAAUGAAAAAGUAUUUAAGCUUAUUUAGUGAAAUGUCAGCACAACAGCAUCUGCAACCUCUUGUUUCUUAAAAAAAACAUCCUGAUAUCAAAAUAAAGUUAACACUUGUGAGCCUUAAUCACAUCACAGGUGUAAGCAUCACAGCAGACGACACUGUGUCAAAGUAACUGAGGAUGGAACACAGAAAAAGAUGAAGAACUCUUUCCUGGCCUAAUUUUUUUGUGUCUCCUAUAGCAUAUAACACCCCCUCUGAAAACAUGCUGCAGUAGAUCAAAAACUGAAGAAAACCAUGACUCAGCAGAUGGACAUUACCCGUGAAAAGAUCAAUGCAACUGAAGUGAAACAGAGCAAAGUUACAGAAGUUUGAUUAGAGACAUAGCUAAGCCUUUUGCAAAUUAGCAAAAUUUGGCACCACCUGUGAGAGCUGAUAUUUCUUCGGUAUUGAAAAGCAGAAAUUUGACUUUCUUGAUUUCUUGCUGUAGGUCACUUCCGCAAAACAAAAAAAUAAAAAAGCAGACAGCCGUACUCUAACAAAUUUUAGUGCGUAAUGCGUCCAUGCGUAAAGAAUCGAAUAUGGCAGAAAGUAGGAAUUUAUGACAGGAAACUGCUGUUGAAACACACUGGGAGAUGGAGCUGUGCAGGAAAUGCGAUUGUAUCACGGUGGAUUUUUUGGUAGCAAUACAACACAGCUACACAUCUUAACUCUUCCAAAGGUGAAAGGGCAGACGGUGGAAGGUCGACUGGGCUGAAUAAAUAAACAGUGACCUUGGAUGAGGUUUGGCCAAACCACACAUCCCCUUUUACUAAUAGAGCAGAGCCAAGAAUAAAGGUGAGUAAAUAUACAGGUCGAUAAACUGAUAACAGACUAAAAGACAGAUAACCCUCAGCAUGUUAGAGAAGGUGAAACAGGGAUUAGGCUAGAUUCUAAACAGAUAUGUAUAUGUCAUGAGCACGUUGUUAGCCAAAAUUAGUUUUUCACAUUGACUCCCCCUCUCAGGCUUUUUAUAAAGACAUUCCACUGGAAUGACUGAAACUUACUGUAACCAUUAUUGAGAUGGAAACUCUUUUUUUAAACACAACUGCUGCUUCUUCUCUGUAAAAUAUGCUUUUCUGUCACGACUGGUACAGAGCAGUCCAGUUUCAAGGAACUUGGCACUUUAUGUUCAAAUAAAAACACUGGCAUGCACCACUCCUUUAAUAAGCCAGUUUGCAAAAAAAAAAAAAAAAAAA